rnacentral:rRNA from 1 species
AUUGAACGCUGGCGGCAUGCUUUACACAUGCAAGUCGAACGGUAACAGGCCGCUAGGUGCUGACGAGUGGCGCACGGGCGAGUAAUGCAUCGGAACGUGCCCAGUCGUGGGGGAUAACUACUCGCAAGAGUAGCUAAUACCGCAUACGAUCUAUGGAUGAAAGCGGGGGACCGUAAGGCCUCGCGCGAGUGGAGCGGCCGAUGUCAGAUUGGGUAGUUGGUGGGGUAAAGGCUCACCAAGCCAACGAUCUGUAGCUGGUCUGAGAGGACGACCAGCCACACUGGGACUGAGACACGGCCCAGACUCCUACGGGAGGCAGCAGUGGGGAAUUUUGGACAAUGGGCGCAAGCCUGAUCCAGCAAUGCCGCGUGCAGGAAGAAGGCCUUCGGGUUGUAAACUGCUUUUGUACGGAACGAAACGGCUCUGGUUAAUACCCGGGGCUAAUGACGGUACCGUAAGAAUAAGCACCGGCUAACUACGUG